UGGGGAAUAUUGGACAAUGGGCGCAAGCCUGAUCCAGCCAUACCGCGUGGGUGAAGAAGGCCUUCGGGUUGUAAAGCCCUUUUGUUGGGAAAGAAAAGCAGCCGGUUAAUACCCGGUUGUUCUGACGGUACCCAAAGAAUAAGCACCGGCUAACUUCGUGCCAGCAGCCGCGGUAAUACGUAGGGUGCGAGCGUUAAUCGGAAUUACUGGGCGUAAAGCGUGCGCAGGCGGUUUUGUAAGACAGAGGUGAAAUCCCCGGGCUCAACCUGGGAACUGCCUGUGUGACUGCAAGGCUGGAGUGCGGCAGAGGGGGAUGGAAUUCCGCGUGUAGCAGUGAAAUGCGUAGAUAUGCGGAGGAACACUGAUGGCGAAGGCAAUCCCCUGGGCCUGCACUGACGCUCAUGCACGAAAGCGUGGGGAGCAAACA
rnacentral:rRNA from 1 species